ACGGCUCAGUAACACGUGGACAACCUACCCUCCGGACGGGUAUAAACCCGGGAAACUGGGUAUAAUCCCCGAUAGAUCUCGGUCGCUGGAAUGCCCCGAGAUCGAAAGCUCCGGCGCCAGAGGAUGGGUCUGCGGCCUAUCAGGUAGUAGUGGGUGUAGCGUACCUACUAGCCUACGACGGGUACGGGUUGUGAGAGCAAGAGCCCGGAGAUGGAUUCUGAGACACGAAUCCAGGCCCUACGGGGUGCAGCAGGCGCGAAAACUUUACAAUGCCGGCAACGGCGAUAAGGGGACCUCGAGUGCCAGGUUACAAAUCUGGCUGUCGUGAUGCCUAAAAAGCAUUGCAUAGCAAGGGCCGGGCAAGACCGGUGCCAGCCGCCGCGGUAACACCGGCGGCUCGAGUGGUAACCGUUAUUAUUGGGUCUAAAGGGUCUGUAGCCGGCCGGAUAAGUCUCUUGAGAAAUCCAGCAGCUCAACUGUUGGGCUUUCAGGAGAUACUGUUCGGCUCGAGGCCGGGAGAGGUGAGAGGUACUUCAGGGGUAGGGGUGAAAUCUUGUAAUCCUUGAAGGACCACCAGUGGCGAAGGCGUCUCACCAGAACGGACCUGACGGCAAGGGACGAAAGCUAGGGGCACGAACCGGAUUAGAUACCCGGGUAGUCCUAGCCGUAAACGAUACUCGCUAGGUGUCGGCCACGGUGCGACCGUUGUCGGUGCCGUANGGAAGCCGUGAAGCGAGCCACCUGGGAAGUACGGCCGCAAGGCUGAAACUUAAAGGAAUUGGCGGGGGAGCAC
rnacentral:rRNA from 1 species